UCGAGAAAAUCAUGAUGUUGUACAUGCAUAAUAAUUUCCGAGCGCCUGCCCCGAUCGAUCAAUCAAGUUUCAUCGAACGGCCAUCCUCGAGCAAAUUGAAUUUCUGAGAACCAACUUUGACGACACGGAUCGGAGAUCUUAUUCGCAACAAUUCACGAAUAUAUUUAUUACUGAUUAUAUCCGCGGACGUCGACCACGGCGUGCAAGACUCUCAGCAUGAAUCUCAUGAUGAAUGAAGCCGACGCGGUUAAGGUACCACACUUCCGGUCAGGCUCCCUUUAAUCAGCGAGAUGGAACUAACCAGAAGGACUAAGUACUCCAAGGUCUCAGUUUAAAUAAAAUCAUAAAAGAUGAUGGUUUCAAUAGAUGUGCUAAUCUCAUCGCCAUUCGAAGGAACAGUAGACUCGUCAGCAUGUAACAUUUUAAUUGGUCUUAUUGACAUUGCUAAUUGCUGGUGCUAAACAACUUUGCGUCAGCGCGAACUCGAGCAAAAUAUAAAACGACGGAAAUCAAUGCAAUUAUUGCGAAUCAGAUGAUUCAGUAAUUACAUACCUAUAUUGUAAUCUAUAUGUAAUAACAACAUUGGUAAAUACACGAGUCGGUGACAUUUAAAAAUGGUAAAUAAAUGUAUCGUUAGAUAAUUAUUUUUAAAUGAUAUUUAUAUAUUUCACUUUAUCAAUAUGUACAGUUAUUAUAACUUUUCCAAAUAACGAGAUUGCAUGGAACUGCAUGCAUACUGUCAAACGUAAAUUAUUCGAAUGAUAAUAAAUGUAAGGUGAUGUAGUGCUAAUAAAUGAUCACUUUAAUUUAAUCGCAUACUAAUUACAGAUUGAUUCAUCAAUUUAUUUUAUUCCUUUUAUUUUACUCCUUUAUUGCCAAAACUCUCUGCAUUAGUUUACUGCAUUAGUUAAUGCAUUUAUUCACCUUUCUAAUUUUUAAGCUAGAUUAUC